GACGAACGCUGACGGCGUGCUUAACACAUGCAAGUCGAACGGAAAGGCCCUGCUUUUGUGGGGUGCUCGAGUGGCGAACGGGUGAGUAACACGUGAGUAACCUGCCCUUGACUUUGGGAUAACUUCAGGAAACUGGGGCUAAUACCGGAUAGGAGCUCCUGCCGCAUGGUGGGGGUUGGAAAGUUUCGGCGGUUGGGGAUGGACUCGCGGCUUAUCAGCUUGUUGGUGGGGUAGUGGCUUACCAAGGCUUUGACGGGUAGCCGGCCUGAGAGGGUGACCGGCCACAUUGGGACUGAGAUACGGCCCAGACUCCUACGGGAGGCAGCAGUGGGGAAUAUUGCACAAUGGGCGGAAGCCUGAUGCAGCAACGCCGCGUGCGGGAUGACGGCCUUCGGGUUGUAAACCGCUUUCGCCUGUGACGAAGCGUGAGUGACGGUAAUGGGUAAAGAAGCACCGGCUAACUACGUG
rnacentral:rRNA from 1 species